GGUCGAGUAGCUCAGUUGGUAGAGCAAAGGACUGAAAAUCCUUGUGUC
rnacentral:tRNA from 1 species